GCCGUGGCGGGGUGCUUACCAUGCAGUCGAACGGAAAGGCCUCAGCUUGCUGGGGUACUCGAGUGGCGAACGGGUGAGUAACACGUGGGUGAUCUGCCCUGCACUUUGGGAUAAGCUUGGGAAACUGGGUCUAAUACCGAAUAUGACCACUUCUUGGAUGUUGUGGUGGAAAGCUUUUGCGGUGUGGGAUGAGCCUGCGGCCUAUCAGCUUGUUGGUGGGGUAAUGGCCUACCAAGGCGGCGACGGGUAUCCGGCCUGAGAGGGUGUACGGACACAUUGGGACUGAGAUACGGCCCAGACUCCUACGGGAGGCAGCAGUGGGGAAUAUUGCACAAUGGGCGCAAGCCUGAUGCAGCGACGCCGCGUGGGGGAUGAAGGCCUUCGGGUUGUAAACUCCUUUCGCUAUCGACGAAGCCACUUGUGGUGACGGUAGGUAGAUAAGAAGCACCGGCUAACUACGUGCCAGCAGCCGCGGUAAUACGUAGGGUGCAAGCGUUGUCCGGAAUUACUGGGCGUAAAGAGCUCGUAGGUGGUUUGUCGCGUCGUCUGUGAAAUCCCGGGGCUUAACUUCGGGCGUGCAGGCGAUACGGGCAUAACUUGAGUGCUGUAGGGGAGACUGGAAUUCCUGGUGUAGCGGUGAAAUGCGCAGAUAUCAGGAGGAACACCGAUGGCGAAGGCAGGUCUCUGGGCAGUAACUGACGCUGAGGAGCGAAAGCAUGGGUAGCGAACAGGAUUAGAUACCCUGGUAGUCCAUGCCGUAAACGGUGGGCGCUAGGUGUAGGGGGCUUCCACGUCUUCUG
rnacentral:rRNA from 1 species